rnacentral:tRNA from 1 species
GGGGGUAUAGCUCAGUUGGCUAGAGCGCUUGCAUGGCAUGCAAGAGGUCAGGGGUUCGACCCCCCUUACCUCCA